rnacentral:rRNA from 1 species
UUGCUGCUUUGCUGACGAGUGGCGGACGGGUGAGUAAUGUCUGGGAAACUGCCUGAUGGAGGGGGAUAACUACUGGAAACGGUAGCUAAUACCGCAUAACGUCGCAAGACCAAAGAGGGGGACCUUCGGGCCUCUUGCCAUCGGAUGUGCCCAGAUGGGAUUAGCUAGUAGGUGGGGUAAAGGCUCACCUAGGCGACGAUCCCUAGCUGGUCUGAGAGGAUGACCAGCCACACUGGAACUGAGACACGGUCCAGACUCCUACGGGAGGCAGCAGUGGGGAAUAUUGCACAAUGGGCGCAAGCCUGAUGCAGCCAUGCCGCGUGUAUGAAGAAGGCCUUCGGGUUGUAAAGUACUUUCAGCGGGGAGGAAGGGAGUAAAGUUAAUACCUUUGCUCAUUGACGUUACCCGCAGAAGAAGCACCGGCUAACUCCGUGCCAGCAGCCGCGGUAAUACGGAGGGUGCAAGCGUUAAUCGGAAUUACUGGGCGUAAAGCGCACGCAGGCGGUUUGUUAAGUCAGAUGUGAAAUCCCCGGGCUCAACCUGGGAACUGCAUCUGAUACCGGCAAGCUUGAGUCUCGUAGAGGGGGGUAGAAUUCCAGGUGUAGCGGUGAAAUGCGUAGAGAUCUGGAGGAAUACCGGUGGCG